GGCUGGUCUGAAGGUAGUGAGUUAUAUCAGUUGAUUGUUCAGUCACUUGCAGAUCAAAUUCCUUGUUCUACUCUUUACCCCCUUCUUACUGCUGCACUUGACUAUUCGAAA
ensembl:misc_RNA Y_RNA Y RNA